UACAGGGGGUGCAAACGUUGCUCGGAAUUAUUGGGCGUAAAGCGCACGUAGGCGGUUCGUUAUGUCGGAUGUGAAAGCCCUUGGCUCAACUGAGGAAGUGCAUCCGAAACUGGCGAGCUAGAGUAUGUAAGAGGGUCGCGGAAUUCCCGGUGUAGAGGUGAAAUUCGUAGAUAUCGGGAGGAACACCGGUGGCGAAGGCGGCGUCCUGGACCGACACUGACGCUGAGGAGCGAAAGCCAGGGGAGCAAACGGG
rnacentral:rRNA from 1 species